CAAGGUGGGAUCUGAUGCUGAAAAGGGGUCGACUGCGUAUUGUGCGUCAGGAUGAACGCGAACGCACCACGGGCAACCUCUCCUCAGGCACCCCACGGGGCAGCAGGUGCAGCAAGCAGAAGCUCGGGCUCUCCCCCAAUGGGGCGGCGGCCGGCGCGGGUCCCCAAGGCAGGGCGACAACCUCUCCUCAAGUACCCAUGGAGACGCCGUCGAGGGCCGUCGAGGGCCGCCACCGCUGCUGUGGUGACCGCCUCGCGGGAGCCGUCCUGAGGGUGGAUCAGACAGGAAAGUACCAGGAGAGGUGCUGAGCUGAGGAGCGACGGGCCCGGGCCCGCGGGCCCUGCGGGCUGCAGUGGAUACGGACGGCUAGUGGACCAGGUGAAGUACAUUCGAAACAAUUACUUUCCAACUGGUCGACCAUCCGUCCUGUACCCCAGAGCGGUGCUGCUACCGACGUUCUUCCCCGAGGUGCCACGGCCUCCGAGUCGGCCUCUCUGGUGGAAUUUGAUACCGAAAAGGGGUUCACCGAGCAACAUUCGUCGUCCAGAUGCAAAGUUGCUCGGGUAACCUCUCCCCGAGUACCAUGGAGAGGCUUGGACGCUUGGACUAAGGCAGACGCUUCAAGGUGGCUGUGCUUCCAGAAGACCCUCCCCAAGGGCAGCCUGAACGCUGGGCAUUCAGGGGCCGGAACUUCGCCCUCUACCGGACUCCCCUGCCCCCGCCAGCCGUUGAGGCCAACCAUUCCAUCCCCUCCCAGAAUGCGCCAGAUCCAGAGACCAUUCCCCGAAGUGAAUACGAGGGCCGUGGGGGGUGGGGGGAUCUCAGGCUGGCAAGGGGGUGCCCUUGCUUGGGCGCACCACCCUAGAGGGCUCCCCAAGGCGAGCUGACGGGCAUCUGAGGCGCCCUUCUGCCCGACUGUCCUACACGGGGGCUAUCUGCCGAUGGGUCUGACGCACAGCUGACGAAGAUACCACCCUGCCUGCCCUCAGCUCUUCUUUCCCAGACCCCGGAGAGGGUGACCCCAGGCCCCGCGCCAGCACAAAGCCUCCCUCCAGGGGGCACUGCGUGUGUGCGCGGUGCUAACGCCCAGCACUGCGCUCCCCGAGGUGCCCCCAACACCACCUCUAGCCCCGUAUAGGCGUCACCCCCCCGCAGCGUCCUCCAAAGGGCGAUUUAAUACAAAAGAAAACUGGUUGAUCAUUUGAUUAGCCUCACAAGCAAAGCAAGCAAAACACCAAAAAUAAAGGCUAGGAGGAGUGGGGGGAGAAAAAAGCAAAUGAGCCAAACAUAAUCUCUCUUCAAAAAAAAGGCAAAGCAGCUCUGGUAUCAGAACCCUGGUUCUUCACAGAGUUGACAUCAGAUCCAGAAUAUGCCCCCAAAUAAUGGACUGGCCAGAGAGGGCCAGGGAGCAGAUGACAUAUGCGACAAGCAGAGUCUGGAUUCUGUGCCCACCACCCAUUUUGCGAACUUGGGAGUGGGACCGACAGCAGAAUCCUUUCCCUGAUGUUGGCAGGAGUUCAGAAAGCCCUUGGGUCUUGCUACCAUUGCAGCAAGGAACCGGCCACCCAAGGUCUGUCCUGAAGAAAGAAAACGCAGUAUGGAAGCGUCCCUGUCCAUGGAUACUGACCUGCGGCUUAGAGAUGCUUUCCCAGAGCUGACAUCACCUCCUGACGGGCUCGUGAGAAUGGGCUGGGCGGCAGCGGCUACUGGACCAGAUGACAUACAUCACCAACACACUCAGGGCAUGUCCUGGGGCUGCGCCCAUGCACCUACCCUGGCGAGGGCUCCAGCCGCUGGCCACCUCCUGAGGGUGCUGUGGCUUCUGGGAAUCCUCCAAGGCAGGGCUUGAUCUGGAAAGAGAUCCACCAGACCGUGCUGGUCAUCCACGAAUCAUGCCAGCAAAGGACAAAUUUUCACACCCCGGGCAACGGUCUGGAUCCUAGAAACACCAAUUCCAGGACCACCUCCCAAACGAGGCCAGCCUCCGCGACCAAGCGACACUCGGCUGGUCUGUGGGGCCGGCCUGGGGCCUGGGGACGUGCCAACACCUCCUGUGGGUUGCACAACGGCACUGAUGACAACUGUCCCCACUGACCAAGGAUCUCCUGCCUCACUUGUGGAGGGAGUCAGCGUGUCGCCCAGAGCUCCGCAAGGGGGUGAAGGGAUGCCAAGAGGAAGCAGAUCAGGAGAGGCCCAGCACUGAGAAGGCACACACGCUGGUGACAACAUGCACCCCGUCACCAGCGUGUCCCCCCUGACGUCAGCAAGCCCGCUCAGGAAGCUCUCUGGGAAGACUUGGGACAGAAAGAAAAGGUCAGACGCAUAAAGGACACUGUGCCCGGCCCCCGUGUUCCUGCUGACCCCACGGACCGCACGCCACACGUGCGAAUUUAACCACCUUAAUGAGAACUGUGCCGACACUGAUUUUCAUACAA